rnacentral:rRNA from 1 species
CGGUAAUUCCAGCUCCACUAUGUAUAAAUCGUCAUUGCUGCGGUUAAAAAGCUCGUAGUUGGAUUUGAGGCACGUACAGCGGUUCGGCUCUGCCGGUAAUCACUGUUGUGUCUAAUUUGUUGGUUUUCUGUUGGUAACUUCGGUUCCUUCAGUGGCUAGCAAGUUUACCUUGAUCAAAUCAAAGCGCUCAAAGCAGGCGAUUGCUUGCAUUUGGGAUCAUGGAAUAAUAAAAUAGGAUUUCGAUUCUAUUUAUUGGUUUAGAAUUGAAUUAAUGAUUAAGAGAGACAAUUCGGGGGCAUUCGUAUCCCUGCGCGAGAGGUGAAAUUCGUGGACCGCAGGGGGACGUCCAAAAGCGAAAGCAUUUGCCAAGAAUGUCUUCAUUAAUCAAGAACGAAAGUCAGAGGUUCGAAGGCGAUUAGAUACCCGCCCUAAUUCUGACCGUAAACUAUGCCAUCUAGCGAUCCGAUAGGGUAUUCAUGCCUUG